rnacentral:rRNA from 1 species
AGCUUUAAGAAUAUAUUUUAAGUUACUUCUGCCCAGCGUUUAUAUUAGCGGCCGCAGUACCUUGACUGUGCUAAGGUAGCAUAAUCAAUUGGCUUUUAAUUGAAGUCUGGAAUGAAAGGUUUUAUAAAGAAUUAACUGUCUCUUUAAAAUUUUAAUGAACUUAUUUAAAAAGUGAAAAUACUUUUUUAUAGAAAAAAGACGAGAAGACCCUUAGAAUUUUAAUUAAUUAAUUUAUUUAAAUUAUAUAUUUUUGUUGGGGCGACAAUGAAACAAUUAACUUUCAAUUUAAAACAAGUCAUUUUUUUUAAAGAUUAAAUUACCUUAGGGAUAACAGCAUAAUGAAUAAUUUAGUUUGUGACCUCGAUGUUGGACUAGGAACUAAAAGACUAACAGUCAUAAUAGAAUGUUCUGUUCGAACAAAAUUUCCU